ACAGGGACUUUGGGCUUAUCUCGUUAUUAUUGAUUGCCCCAUCACAUGCUGGAAAUGUGAUAUUAUUGAUUGCCCUGUCACAGGCUGGAAAUGUGAUACUAUCGAUUGCCCCGUCACAGGCUGAAAAUGUGAUACUAUCGAUUGCCCCGUCAUAGGCUGGAAAUGUGAUACUAUCAAUUGCCCCAUCACAGGUCGGAAAUGUGAUACUAUCGAUUGCCCCAUCACAGGCCGGAAACGUGACCGGGAUGUAGCCCAAAAUCAGAAAGAUAAUUGAUUCGGAUCAAGUUAAUAGAGAAUGGAAAGAAAAAGCAUUGUAAAUAGUAAUGAAGAUUUAUGAGCUAUCAUAUGCUAUAUCAUUCCUGUGUGGCUGGACCUUCAUUGAUAUUUGACGUACAUAUUUAUAUUGAUUAUUUGAGCCUUUUGAAAACUGUUUAUGAUUUCAUGAAAUGUGCAUCGAUUUAUCGUGGUUUUUCAAAUUCAUAUUAUUAUUGUGUUGGUAUGGNNNNNNNNNNNNNNNNNNNNCCCUGUCACAGGCUGGAAAUGUGAUACUAUCGAUUGUCCCGUCACAGGCUGAAAAUGUGAUACUAUCGAUUGCCCCGUCAUAGGCUGAAAAUGUGAUACUAUCGAUUGCCCCAUCACAGGCCGGAAAUGUGACCGGGAUGUAGCCCAAAGUCAGAAAGAUAAUUGAUUCGGAUCAAGUUAAUAGAGAAUGGAAAGAAAAAGCAUUGUAAAUAGUAAUGAAGAUUUAUGAGCUAUCAUAUGCUAUAUCAUUCCUGUGUGGCUGGACCUUCAUUAAUAUUUGACGUACAUACUUAUAUUGAUUAUUUGAGCCUUUUGGAAACUGUUUAUGAUUUCAUGAAAUGUGCAUCGAUUUGUCGUGGUUUUUCAAAUUCAUAUUAUUAUUGUAUUGGUAUGGAUGUGUAGAUAUUCUUACUGGGCUGUAAAGCUCACCUCCCUUCUUAUUUUUUUUUCAGAGUUGCAGGAUGCAAAGACAUAGAUGGGAUGAGCGCAGAGUGCGAGUAUGAGAGUCAUUAGUUAGUUAGUUUAUCUUGAUAUCAAUGAACAUUGAAAGCUUUUGUAAUUGAACCAAUUUGAUUAUCUGAACAUGUUGGAUUUGUCAAUUUGAAUCAAUUAAUUAGUUAUGGAUUUAUUGGAUUUUUGUUUAUCUUAGGCCUUGCAUGAUCUUUAGGGCAUUGCUCUAGGGCUCAUGCGGCCGGUCGCGUACCGAACCCGGGUGGUGGGUUCGGGGCGUGACAUUUAGUAUUUUAACUAUUUAUAUGUAUAUUUUAAGAAAAAAGAUAUAAAUUUUUAAAGGUUCUCAGAUUGCUAUGACUGCCUCUAGAAAUGGGGGCCAAUCGACACCUUGAAACUAACAUCCAAUGAAAACGAUCCUCUGCCAACGGGUUAAAGUUCGUAACAAAUAUGAACUAUGAUAUCUUAUCGAUUAUGAAGAUGGCCCUAUAAAUUUAUUUGCAAUAGAAACUUGAAAAUAUGUUUAAGAAAGAUGAAUAUAUUAACCAACAAUAUCUCCCUACUCUUAUCAAAUGGAUCUUCCGCAAGUAGGUCUACUUAACCAAGUCUUCUGCUUGGAAAGAAAAUUUUUAUGUUCACACAAAUUAAAGGUCUCUUUUUCUACUAGGUCUCCCAUUGCUUCGAUGCUGUCCUAUUCUAGUAAACACAAUUCCCAAGUCUUCUAGUUUGGACUAUAAUACUCUUUUCCAUUUUCAUCCUCACUCCCAUGACUCCAUUCUUCUCGCCAUCUUUUGCACGACAUGACCGACAUUUUUCUUUUUCUUUUGGAAAGAAUGCAUGACAUGAUCGAUGCAUUAAGUUCCUUUUUAAGAAAAGGCAGCUUCACUGCUCUUAUCAAAAGGAUCUUCCAAAAGUUGGUCUACUUAGCCAAGUCUUCUGCUUGGAAACAAAACUU
rnacentral:lncRNA from 1 species